GAGGAACACGUACACAACCUUCCUUCAAGCGGGGAAUAGCCCAGAGAAAUUUGGAUUAAUACCCCAUAAUAUAUUUGAUAAGGCAUCUUAUUAAUAUUAAAGCUUCGGCACUUGAUGAUGGGUGUGCGGCUGAUUAGAUAGUUGGCGGGGUAACGGCCCACCAAGUCUACGAUCAGUAGCUGAUGUGAGAGCAUGAUCAGCCACACGGGCACUGAGACACGGGCCCGACUCCUACGGGAGGCAGCAGUAAGGAAUAUUGGACAAUGGACGAAAGUCUGAUCCAGCCAUGCCCGCGUGAAGGAUUAAGGUCCUCUGGAUUGUAAACUUCUUUUAUGUGGGACGAAAAAAGGGCAUUCUUGUUCACUUGACGGUACCAUAUGAAUAAGCACCGGCUAACUCCGUG
rnacentral:rRNA from 1 species